rnacentral:lncRNA from 1 species
UCACAAACAGGUUUAGAACUCCAGCUACCAAUGUGGAAUGGGGACUUCCAUUAUCUUGCCGUAGUCCUUGCAUCUCUCACGGUUCUCUUUCAAACUGAAGAAGGUCCAACACUUCAAGUUGUUAUUUCCCUGAUUGCUACUACAUAUUUCAUUUAUGACUAGCUAAAGAGCAAACCUGAUCGAGCUUUUCUCAAUGAGUAUGCUAUAUGACAAAGUCCUCAAGCUUAUUUUAUUUUGUUUUUUGACAUUAUGAUCAUAUGAUUAUCAGCAACUACUGACUUAGUACAGCGCCUGCUGAAUAUUUAUUUAGUUAUAAGCACCAAUGAUAAUCUUGGAAAUAUGUUUUGUAGUUCAUAAAUUCCAAGACUUUCUCCAUAUGUUACCUAUCCCAUUUGAUAAUCAAGAUGUUCUCAACUUUCUUACCGAAUAGUUUUUGGAUUUUAUUGUGUUACAUAGUUGGUAUUUUUAAUUCUCUCCUGACUUCUGCGAACAUUGUUGAUGGUGUCCGUGAUUCCACCUAUACUAAAAGGGCCAAGGAUCGAGUUUGGAGGUGACAACUUCAUCGAGAACCUACAUGGUUUCAUGGGUUUACUCAAGCAUUGUUUCAUCAUCUCUACCUAGUUAGGAUAGUACCUGAGUUCCUAACCAUUAGAAAAGGGAAAAUAUAUGAAAUUCAGGCGAAAUAUUCAUGAUGUUUACCACACCUUGUAUUGCUAUGGUCUGAUUGAGUUUCUCAGGUAAGGAUUACGGGCUGUAGAUUUUGUAGAAGGAAAGCUUCUUCUUUCUUAGUCAAUUUCAGACAGGUGGAAAGUGUAACAAUCACAUAAAUCCAUAAUAUAGGCGUCACAUGCAUGAUAUACGUACCAUUGAUGCUUAUAUUUAAUAUUGUUAGCUGUACAAGAACUGCAACUCCCUCCUCAUUAGCAUUUGAUUGCUUGAAUUCCUAAUAGGAUGUGAUGGGGAUACACGAUUACCAUCUCAGCAAUAACAAACAGUUCAUAGGGAAGAAACAAAGAAAAGGACAGAUGGUUAAAGAAAAGGACAGAUGGUUACAACUUACAACUGUGCUCUAGUGGUUGUUUGUCCUGGGAUGUGUUCCAACCAGUUGAGUGGCUCCUGAAUCAUGACAUUGUUUUCUUGAAAUUUAUGGGCCAUAGUUGAAUCUGGCAUCUACUCUUGUGUGCUUCUAUUUACAGUACUAAUUCAAAAUGUGCUUUCCUUUCCUUGAUUAGAGGUGGAAUAUAAAUUGGGAGAUCUUUUGGGCAUGAUGGACCCGAAUGAAUUGGUCACCUUGUAAACAUUCUUCAGAUGUUAUAAGCAAAAGAGAAAAAUGUGACUUUAAUUAAUGCCAA